rnacentral:lncRNA from 1 species
AUGCUCUCCUGGAAAAAGAUAAGAUUCUGGCUUUCCUUACACGUGUAUCGCUUGGCUGCACUCAUUGCAAAGGAGCCCUGCGAGGAAAGAUGCUGGGUGGAAACGGAUAGAACGUGGUCAGGAGGUUCGUAAGGAUUAUCUUAGUUGUUUUGUUUUGUUUUGUUUUUUUAAUGUGUAAAGAGCAACUUCCAGUCUGACUGAUACUAAUUCAAAUUAGAAAUUCAGCUCAUGAAUACUCAUAUUUCAAAUUAACAAAAAGACUGUAUAGCGUAGCAUAUACACGUGUUACUAAAUAUGUAUUUAUUUAUACAGUAUUCCCCUGGUCAUGUCUGACAGUGCUGCAGAAGGUGCUUUGUGCAUAGCACUGGCUGUCUCACAAGUCAUGCUCUGGGUAUCACCAUUCUUCUGGCUGGGCACAGUGCUGGUGAAUUUAGGCCUUGUCUGAUGCCUGCAGUCUGCCCUGAAGACUUAUUGUAUUCUCUGUCCUAUUAAAAUCCAUUUGGCUAGUAGUGCUUUGUCUGGGGGUUGCUCUAGCUGAGGUAGCUGUAGCUCUCUGCAAGUGGGUUUGAAGUGAUUUCUGUGGUUGUCUUCUAGUACUGGACAGCACGGAAAAGCUGUAGGAAUUGGGUGUGAGUUACAAGACAUGCACUUCAGUAGAUUUCUUUGCAUAAAUAUUAUUUAAUUUAAUCCAUGCAGAGUGAUUCUUCAAAGCUAGGAAGCACAAGGGUUGGUAGCAUGGGCAGAUAGGCGUUACUUAUUAUUUUCACUACUCCAACAUGUUAGUAAUGCUGGCUUCUUGGCAACUGUAUAGAAUCAUUGAAUCAUGGAAUGGCCUGGGUUGAAAAGGACCACAAUGAUCAU